AGCAUAUCAAUAAGCGGAGGAAAAGAAACCAACAGGGAUUGCCCUAGUAACGGCGAGUGAAGCGGCAACAGCUCAAAUUUGAAAGCUAGCCUUCGGGUUCGCAUUGUAAUUUGUAGAGGAUGCUUUGGGUAAAACGCCAGUCUAAGUUCCUUGGAACAGGACGUCAUAGAGGGUGAGAAUCCCGUAUGUGACUGGAAAUGUUAACCUAUGUAAAGCUCCUUCGACGAGUCGAGUUGUUUGGGAAUGCAGCUCUAAAUGGGAGGUAAAUUUCUUCUAAAGCUAAAUAUUGGCGAGAGACCGAUAGCGCACAAGUAGAGUGAUCGAAAGAUGAAAAGCACUUUGGAAAGAGAGUUAAAAAGCACGUGAAAUUGUUGAAAGGGAAGCGCUUGCAAUCAGACUUGUUUAAACUGUUCGGCCGGUCUUCUGACCGGUUUACUCAGUUUGGACAGGCCAGCAUCAGUUUCGGCGGCCGGAUAAAGGCUCUGGGAAUGUGGCCUCCACUUCGGUGGAGGUGUUAUAGCCCAGUGUGUAAUACGGCCAGCCGGGACUGAGGUCCGCGCUCGG
rnacentral:rRNA from 1 species